AGAGUUUGAGUCCUGGCGUCAGGACGAACGCUGGCGGCGUAGCUUAACACGAUGCAAGUCGAACGGGGAUGAUCUUCGAAGUCCUUCGGGAUGGAAGGGAUCAUUCGAGUGGCGGACGGGUGAGUAACGCGUGAACAAUCUGUCCCAGACAGGGGGAUAACACUUGGAAACAGGUGCUAAUACCGCAUAAGACCACGAUGUCGCAUGGCAUAGGGGUAAAAGGAGAGAUCCGGUUUGGGGUGAGUUCGCGUCCGAUUAGCCAGUUGGCGGGGUAACGGCCCACCAAAGCGACGAUCGGUAGCCGAUCUGAGAGGAUGACCGGCCACAUUGGAACUGAGAGACGGUCCAAACUCCUACGGGAGGCAGCAGUGGGGAAUAUUGGGCAAUGGGCGAAAGCCUGACCCAGCAACGCCGCGUGAGUGAAGAAGUAUUUCGGUAUGUAAAGCUCUAUCAGCAGGAAAGAAAAUGACGGUACCUGACUAAGAAGCCCCGGCUAACUACGUGCC
rnacentral:rRNA from 1 species